GAGACAGGGUUUCACUUUGUUGUCCAGGCUGGAGGGCAGUGGUAUGAUCUUCGCUCACUGCAGCCUCAACCUCACAGACUUAAGCCAUCCUCCAGCCUCUGCCUCCCAAGUGCUGGGAUUACAGGCGUGAGCCACUGCGCCCGGCCAAGAGCAUGUAUUUUUAGUAGAGACGGGGUUUCUCCAUGUUGAUCAGGCUGGUCUCGAUCUCCCAACCUCAGGUGAUCUAUAAGUGCUCCAAAGUGAGAGCCAUCACUAUUAUUUGCAUAAUCUCAUUUACACAAACUUGAUAAAAGCAUAGUAUCAAAAGGCUGAUGUGAACUGCUUCAUUAAUAGUCUUAUUUUCAUCAUCAUUAGGUGCGGUCCACCUAUGUCCCUGGCAUUAGAUGACUCCACAAAGUUUUAUUUUAUAUUGAAUUAUAUUCGCCUACUGCCUUUUUUUCGAGACAAGAUCUUCCUCUGCUGCCCAGGCUGGAGUGCAGUGGCGCAAUCAUGACUCACUGCAGCCUCAACCUCCUGGGUUCAAGUGAUCCUCCCAUCUCAGCCUCCAGAAUAGCUGGGACUACAGGCAUGCCCCACCAAUGCCUGGCUAAUUUUUAAAUUUUUUAUAGGGAUGGGGUCUCACUAUGUUGCUCAGGCUGCUUUUGCACUCCUGGGCUCAAGUGAUCCUCCUACCUCCCAAAGUACUGAGAUUACAGGCAUGAGCCACUGCGCCCAGCCUAUUGCCUUCUUUUUAAUUCAUAAUUUCAGAGAUACUAAUGGAUGUCUUUCACACAACACUUCAAAAGAAGUUAACACUCUGAAAAAAUACCACAAUAAUUUUCUAAAUAUUCAGUCAUUGACUUAAAUAUUUAUAGAUGACUAUUUUGUGUCAGAAUCUUUUCUGGGUUCUGGGAUACUGCAAUGAACAAGACAGAAAAAAAUCUCGCUUUCAUCGAGUCCUCAUUCUAGUGGGAGAAGGGAGAUAAGAUAAACAAGGAAACAAACAUGAUGAGGUAGGCAGUGCUAAGUGCUAAGAAGUUUAACAGGGAACAGGAUGCAGAACAAUGGGGGUGGUCUUCUUCUUUAGACAGAAUGAUCAGAGAGAGGCUAUUUUAUAAAGAUGGGGUGGCCACAGGCGGCCUUUCUGAGGUGUGAGAUUUAUGCAGAGGUCUGAACAAAGAAAGAGCCAGCCAAAUGAAGAUGUGGAGGAAGAGCAUAAAUAUUAUAAUACAAAAAACUGUAUCUCACUAUUAGUUCUUAUUCCAGCACUAGUUCAAUGGGACUUUAAAGCAAAAAUCCACUUGCUAAGACACAAAUCUCUCAAACAUAUUGGGCAGAAUAAAAAGUUCUGCAGUUUUAAAAAGCUGCUGUUAUAAUGGAUGGAUUAAAUGUUUUUAAAUAUGAACCACAUAUAAAAGUACCAGGAGAAAAUACAAGUGAAAGUUUAUGUAAACUUGAGAUGGGUAAAAUCCUUCUAAGCAUGACCACAAAGUUCAAAAACAUACAGCAAAGAUUGAAAAGUGUGAUUACUUUUAUAAGAAGGCAAAAAUAUUGGACAGCAACAAAAUACCCAAAAACACCACAAGAAAAUACACUGCCAUGAAGAUUCCAAGAUAAAUGGCAAACUGAGAAACACAUUUGCAACAUAUAUUAACAGUCUAACACUAAAAAUAUAUAAAAAUAAAUCACUAAGGAAAAAAAGAACAGGCAAUAGUCAUAAGCAAGUAAUUCACUAGGAAAUACACAUGGCCAGGACACUAAUGAAAGACAUUCAACUACAGUCAUCAUAAAAGAAAUGCAACAGAAACUUAUUUUUUGCUUAUAGUAUAGCAAAGAUGGUAAAAGGGUGACAAAACUCUGUUUUGCCUCAAGUAUGAGGAAACUUUAAUUCACGUUCUGUUGGUGAGAGUAUAAACUAGAAACAACUUAAAAUUUCAAUAGUAAAAAACUAUUAAUGAAAUUAUAUGAAAUAGUAUAGUUCAAUAGUGGUUUAAUGCUGUCAUCAAAAUAAUGAAGUAGACCCACAUUUAAUGACAAAUAUAUUAAUGAUGUUCUCUUGAGGGCGCAGGUUGAAAGACAGCACGUAUGGUAUGACAGCAUUUACGUAAAAUUGCAUUUGCAUAGACCACUAAGUGAAAGCACAUUCAUCAAAUAUUAACAGUGGUUAUCCAUAUACAGUAGGAUUUCAGGUAGUAGUAUUUUUCUUUGCAUUUGUAGGUACUUAUAUUUUUGCUUUUGUAGUUGUCCCAAAGAAAGGUUUUUCAAACAGCUACUGGCUUGACUGUCAACUAACAAUUCAAAUACUUACCAGCAAAAAUCAACACGGUUUGAGUUCUCAGUUGGUCAGUCAAGGGAAAGCACAGUAUAGUUAAUGAAAAUUCUUUAAAGCCAAGAUGGUGAUCAACUCCUAUUAAAGAAUGCCCAACUGAGGUCUUUCCUGUCAUUGAUAUUAUCACCAUCAUUUACUAUAUGUAAAAAUAUAAAGCUGCAUUGCUACGGUUUGGUUUGUCUCCCCAAACCUGAUAUUAAAAUAUGAUCCCCCAAUGUUGUAGGUGGGGGCCUAAUGGGAGGUGGGUUUGGGUCAUGAAGGUGGAUCCCUCAUAAAUAGAUCAAUACCUUCCUUCAGGGGUGAGUUCUUCCUGUAUUAUUAGGUGCUGUAAGAGCUGGCUGUUUAAAAGAGCCUGACACACACCCUCUCCUUGCUUCCUCUCUCACCCUGUGAUACCUGCACACAUAGGCUACCCUUCACCUUCCACCACGAGCGGAAGCCGCUUGAGACCUCACUAGUUGCAGAGGCUGGUGCGCCAUGCUUCUUGUACAGCCUGUAGAAACAUGAGCCAAAUUAACCUUGCUCUCUUUCUCCCCCUUCUUUUUUUUUUUUUUUUGAGAUGGAGUCUUGCUCUGUCGCCCAGGCUGGAGUGCAGUGGCGCGAUCUCGGCUCACUGCAACCUCCACCUCCUGGGUUCAAGCGAUUCUCCUGCCUCUGCCUCCCAAGUAGCUGGAACUACAGGCACGUGCCAGCACACCCGGCUAAGUUUAUGUAUUUUUAGUAGAGACAGGGUUUCACCGUGUUAGCCAGGAUGGUCUCGAUCUCCUGACCUCGUGAUCCGCCCAUCUCGGCCUCCCAAAGUGCUGGGAUUACAGGCAUCAGCCACCGCGGCCUGGCUUUAUUUUUUUUUUUUUAAAUAAACUACCCAGCCUCAGGUAUUCCUUUAUUGCAAUACAAAACUGACUAAGACAUAUACAAAUACUUAUGAACUGGAAUGAUCUAAUCUCAAGGUCAAACACCAUGGAAAAUUCUUACAUUUCUCAGCCCAAGAACACUUUCCAAUCUCAAAACAUAUUACAAAGAUGCAGUCAUCAAGACUGUAUGGUACUAGCAUAAUAGAUAUAGCUCAAUGGAAUAAAAUUAACAGUUCUGAAGUAAAUCCAUACAUUUACAGUCAACUGAUUUUCAACAACAGAGGCAAGACGACAGUUCAUGAGGAAAGAAUAGUUUUUUCAACAAAUGGUGCUGGAACAACUGGACAUCCAUGUGCAAAAGAUUAAAGUGGGACACCCCUCCCCCGUCCCACUUCGUACCAUACAUAAAAAUUCACAGCAGAUGUAUCAGAGACCUAAAUAAGAGCCAAUGUUAUAAAAUCAUUAGAAGAAAACAAAGGUGCAAAUCCUAAUGACCUUCGAUUAGGCUAUGGUUCCUAGAUGACACUGAAAGCAUAAGCAGCCAAAUGAAAGUUAGAUACAUUUGACUUCAUCAAAAUGAGAAUUUGUGCUGCAAAGGUCGCUAUUAAAAAAGUAAAAAGACAACCCACACAAUCAAAAUAUUUGCAAAUCACAUAUAUGAUAAGGGUCUAGAUACAACUUUGUCUAGUCCACCUU
rnacentral:lncRNA from 1 species